rnacentral:rRNA from 1 species
GUCUAAAUGCUACCCUGAACAAGCCCAAUCCCAUCUGAUCUCAGAAGCUAAGGAGAGUCAGGCCUGGUUAGUACUUGGAUGGGAGACCACUUAGCAAGACCAGGUGCUAUAGGCG